GUGCUCGUUUUGGCAGCACAUAUACUAAAAUUGGAACAAAAAAGAGAAGAUUUCCAUGUCCCUGGGCAAGGAGAACACAUAAAUUCAUGAAGCGUUUAUAUAUAUAU